rnacentral:rRNA from 1 species
AUUGAACGCUGGCGGCGUGCCUAAUACAUGCAAGUCGAACGGAGUGGCGCACGGGUGAGUAAUAUAUAUCUAAUCUGCCCCUUGCUGGAGGACAACAGUUCGAAAUGACUGCUAAAACUCCAUAGCAAGGGAUGAGACUCUAUCGUAUCAGCUAGUCGGUGGGGUAACGGGCUACCGAGGCGAUGACGCGUAACUGGUCUGAGAGGAUGAGCAGUCAAAUUGGAAGUGAGACACGGGCCAAGAUCCUACGAGAGGCAGCAGAAGGGAAUACUGCGCAAGGGGGGAAACCCUGACGCGGCAACGCCGCGUGGAGGAUGAUACUUUGCGGAGCAUAAACGCCUUUUGUUAGGGAAGCGGUACCUAACGAAUAAGCACCGGCUAACUCCGUGCCAGCAGCCGCGGUAAUUC